GGCGGACGGGUGAGUAACGCGUAAAGAACUUGCCCUUUAGACUGGGAUAACAGAGGGAAACUUCUGAUAAUACUGGAUAAGUUAGUAUAUCGCAUGAUAUGCAAAUGAAAGCUACGGCACUAAAGGAGAGCUUUGCGUCCUAUUAGCUAGUUGGUAAGGUAAGAGCUUACCAAGGCGAUGAUAGGUAGCCGGCCUGAGAGGGUGGACGGCCACAAGGGGACUGAGAUACGGACCCUUACUCCUACGGGAGGCAGCAGCU
rnacentral:rRNA from 1 species